rnacentral:lncRNA from 1 species
UUGAAGCUUCCAACGCCAUUCUCUCAUUCUCCCAUGAAAAGCUAAUUUUCUUUCAUUUUCUUUCCUUGUUUUCUUUUCAUUUCUUUUCUCUUCUUGCUUCAUUCUUCUCCCAACUUCUUGUGCACCAAAGUUACAACUUCUAACCCCAAUUUCUAGCACAUAUAAACUCUAGGAGAAGAAGAAAGAAAAAGAGAGAAAAUAAAAAAAGCUUGGUUUUGGUGAUUCAAGCAAGGAACGCAAAGAUUGGCUUGAUUGGAGAAACAAUUGGUAACAUGUAAGCCAAUAAACCCAUGGGUGCAUGAAGGACUCAAAGUGGAAAAGGAAAACAGUAAGCAUAACACUAUGUUUUAAAGCCUACAGUUAGUUGAAUAUUGUGAGGAAUUAUGGUUGUUGAAAGGAUUUAUUUGCCUAAGCUAGUUGAAAAUUAUUAAGAUUGUAUGACAUGUUGUUUGAAAGAAAUGAAAAAGGAAUAUUGUGGAUGGAGGAUUGAGAAACAAAGUAUUGAAAGUUAGAUAGAUAACAAUCAUGUAAACUAAGAUAUAAUCGAGUGAAAGUAAGAAUGAUUGUUGCUGCCAUAUAUGUGGAUUAUGUGUGGAUAUAUAAGAUAGAUUUGGGUGGAAAUUAUUUAGAAAGGUUGAAGUAGACACGUGACAUCAUAAUUAAGUUACCGGUGAUAUAAUCUAAGGAAUUUCGUAAGCAAUGAUAUAAGUAAUUUUGGUAAAAAUGUAUUAAGAUGUGAAUUAAUUGAAGAUGGUUUCAUGAUAGGAUGAAAAAUAUAAAUUUGAGUAAGGAUUAAUUGAUUGAAGUGCUGCCUGUAUACAUAUGUAAUUAAAUAUAUUGAGUUCGUAUUAUUGUUAGGAUGUGCAAAGAUAAGGUUAGAGUACUGUGGUGGCAUGCUGGAGUAAAUAACGAGCGACCGGCCAGUGAAAAUAGUUAAAGACACCUUCGAUCAAAUAGCGAUGUAAUAUCCCGCUAUAGUAAGGUGAGUGAACUUGCAUUUCAAAAAUCGUUUUGGGAGACAUAAUUGUAUUGGUAUGAAACAUUGAAUGAUUUAUUUCAACUUGUCUUUAAAAACGUGUGCCUUGGGAACAAGCCUUUGACAAAAUAUUUUGAUGUUGUGAAAUGUGAAAUGUGUAAAAGAAUGGACCUAUGUGCUCUUAUACUGUGUUGAUAUAUGUAUAUAUGUGUGUGUAUGAAUAAUCUUGUAUGAUGAUGAUGACCCGACUAUGUGCGAGUAGGGAGUGCGCAUAGGCCGAUGAUGUUGAUGAUCCGGCUAUGAUGAAGAAUGAAGUGGGAUGGUGUAUUUGUUGAUAUAUGUUUAUAUAUGUAUAUGUGAUAGCAAGUUUAUGAUUAUAAUAUGUGAUUGUUUUGAAUGUCAAUAACUUGAUUAUUGUGUAUGUGUUCACUUUGAUGUGCAAUAUAGUAGGGAUGGAUUUUGUGGCAUGUGAAAACCCCUUAUUUGUCAUUUGCCCUGAAUCUCGUUGUAGCGAAAAUAAAUCUCGCAGCAGCGAGAAACUCUCGGGUUUUGGUGCAAUGCUUUCAAAUUGAUGAUGAUUUUGACCAUAUUCCCUUCCAAACUGGGAAAAAUGGUAAACAUCAAAGUUGUAGGCCUACCUCUUAUCUUUCUAAUUACCCAACAAGCAUGUCAAUUGGAUCCAUGUAGUGGAAGAUAUGCUUGAAAAACUGAACUGUAUGCAAACCAAGAAUGCCUUUUGCUAUAGCGAGAAUGAAACUUUCUGUUUCGCUUAGCAUUUGGCUGGUUUUUGCCAUAUUUUCCACUUCUCCAAUUUCAUGUUGAAUAUGAAUUCUCUAUCGUCACAUGAUUUAGCGACCAAGGGUUCAAUUGAGGGUUUUAAUAAGGACUUAAGCUAAAGUGCAUCAUUUUCAAAUAAGUGCAUUAUGAUUUCAAGCUUUUCCUUAUUAUAUUGCUUGUUCCCUUCCUAUGUUCACUCACUAAGUUUAUACUCACAUUUUCAACUUCAUGUUUUCAAAUUCAGUGGUGGUUGAUACGUAGAUUGAGGUGUUCGCGUACCCCCAUCCCUUGGGUAGUUAUCUUGACACUCAGUAGUCAUAUCUCCCCAUCCAAAGCCACUCCGCUGACGGUCAAAGUCUUUGUAUAUGUUUCAUGUGAAUUUGCAAAGAUAUAUUGACAACUAUUUAUGUAUGAUUUGAAUUAUGAUGCUAAUGUGAGCAUUCACUUGGG